UACGUAGGUGGCAAGCGUUGUUCGGAAUUAUUGGGCGUAAAGGGCGCGUAGGCGGUUGGUUAAGUCAGCUGUGAAAGCCCGGGGCUCAACCCCGGAGGGUCGGCUGAUACUGAUUGACUAGAGUACGGAAGAGGUAGCUGGAAUUCCCGGUGUAGCGGUGAAAUGCGUAGAUAUCGGGAAGAACAUCAGUGGCGAAGGCGGUCUGCUGGGCCGUUGCUGACGCUGGAGGUGCGAAAGCGUGGGGAGCAAACAGG
rnacentral:rRNA from 1 species